rnacentral:lncRNA from 1 species
AGUCUAUAAAAGCGUUGGAUGAACAAUUGAAUCAGUUUGGGAGAAGACUUCUUGAAGUGUGGUUGGUACCUUUACAGUAAUUUUUACAUUGAAGUAGCUAAUGCUAACACUUUUUUUAUUCAACAAUGGGCAUAACAUGCAAAUGGUGUAGCUAAUGAUGUAAUUACCUUGACAUGCUUUUCAGAUAGUGACUAGACAGAAGCCACUGAGUCUUCUUUAUUCUAAAUGGAAAAGUAAAAUAAAUACAAACUAAUCAAGCUAAUUUAUAAGGUAAAAACCAGUUGCUAGCCAGUCAGCAGAACACACUGUUGCUUCUCAGCAUAGGCAGCUAUCUAUUGCUACUUUUAGUUUCAGCACCUUGCCCGAUCUGUCUCCCCUUUUCCCGGGAACAGCUAGCACACAUAUGUUAGUCAUAGCAACAGUAACUAUGGGGUGGAGUUGUGUAAGAAAAGCAUCGAAUAGCAUCCAAAACGUUUGUUUGUGAAGCAGAUCGGCGCGACAUUCGGUAGGCAGUCAGAUCUGGCACUAACACCGACAGACAGUCAGACAGUCAGACAGACAGACAGACAGACAGACAGACAGACAGACAGACAGACAGACAGACAGACAGACAGACAGACAGACAGACAGACAGACAGACAGACAGACAGACAGACAGACAGACAGACAGACAGACAGACAGAGGGAUAGAGGGUGGUUGUUCAGACAGACAGACAGAGGGAUAGAGGGUGGUUGUUCAGACAGACAGACAGAGGGAUAGAGGGUGGUUGUUCAGACAGACAGACAGAGGGAUAGAGGGUGGUUGUUCAGACAGACAGACAGAGGGAUAGAGGGUGGUUGUUCAGACAGACAGACAGAGGGAUAGAGGGUGGUUGUUCAGACAGACAGACAGAGGGAUAGAGGGUGGUUGUUUAGGUAUCUCUGACAGACAGACAGAGGGAUAGAGGAUGGUUGUUUAGGUAUCUCUGACAGACAGACAGAGGGAUAGAGGGUGGUUGUUCAGGUAUCUCUGACAGACAGACAGAGGGAUAGAGGGUGGUUGUUCAGGUAUCUCUGACAGACAGAGGGAUAGAGGGUGGUUGUUCAGACAGACAGACAGAGGGAUAGAGGGUGGUUGUUUAGGUAUCUCUGACAGACAGACAGACAGACAGAGGGAUAGAGGGUGGUUGUUCAGACAGACAGACAGAGGGAUAGAGGGUGGUUGUUUAGGUAUCUCUGACAGACAGACAUAGAGAGGGAUAGAGGGUGGUUGUUCAGGUAUCUCUGACAGACAGACAGACAUAGAGAGGGAUAGAGGGUGGUUGUUUAGGUAGACAUAGAGAGGGAUAGAGGGUGGUUGUUCAGGUAUCUCUGCCCAACAAUACAUAUCAUUGAUUGAUUGUUGUUAUUUAGCAGUCUUAAAAGCAGGGGCACAACUUUCACUGAGGACAGACAUGUCCCGCCCACAUUCUAAAAUUGCAUUUUUGUCCCCCCCUGUUUUAUAAUGUGGAAUGUGGCACAAAACAAGGCAAAGGUGUGCUUUAGGUCCAUACUGACGCCUCCGAGUAAUGGGGUAGGCUGUUAUGUCCCACCUCUAAAACCAAAAUUACGCCCCAGUUUAAAAGUAUGCCUACUAACCUGAAGGAUGAUUCUUUGGAGAGCAUAGAGAUAGAUAGAUAGAUGUCUGGCUGGCUGCUACUGCCUGAGCAGAGGUGAGACGAUGAUUUAAACUCAUCAAAUAAAAUAAAUGUAUAUACACAGCUGAAAUAUUUUAUUCAAGUAUAGUAAUGUGAAUAAAGGAUGGUUUAUUAAUAAUUGAUAUGCAGUAAUGUGCAGUCACUCUACCAUCAUUGGGGUUUUAUUAAUGAAAUAAUAGUCAUUAUCAUAUAUAUGAUACUAAAAAUAAAUAUGUAAUAUACACAACCAAAAUAUAAAGUAAUGUGAAUAAAUUAAGGUUAGAGCCUAAUAAGUGCUAGUAAUAAUAAUAGUAAUUAUUACUAGCUCUGAGCAGUCACUAACAUCAAUUAUUGUUUUCUGUGAUGUUACAGCAUUUGACCCACAAUGCAUUUACUGUAAAAAAUAAUAAUAAUCAAAAUCGAAGCUGAAAACUGUGAUUAUUUUCAAAAAACGAACCAAAACCGACCUCAAAUGGCACCCUACCAGCCAGCAUCGCCAUGACAUCGCCUGCAAGCGUGAUGGGGGAUUUCUAUUGGAGAAGCAGUGUGCCUAUCUUCAUACUUCAUACUUCAUACAUACAUACAUCCUUGAUGUCACUUUUAAUUGACUAAUAGGUAGAUUGAUUGAUUAAUACACCUUUGCCUUCCCCACACAUGGGUAUAUCAGUCUACCACAACCAUGAGCAUGUGAUAUGUGUGAUCGGUUGAUUGGCUAAUGUAUUGAUGGAGUGAUUGACAUACAGGUCAUACUUUCCCUUCUCCCAUUUAGCUGUAGACUGACGGGUUGUCGUGGAGAGUUCCCCAUAGCAACAGCCCAUCUCCUUGACGAUGGACAAGGGGGCAUCUGUCGCUGUCGCUAUGGUUAUGCAGCCCAUUAUUUUUUCUAAGAGUUGAGAGCCGAGCCAGAGAGAGGAUACAUUCCUGGACUAAUACAGCCACACUCUGGGUAUCUACACUAGGAGACAAAUUGGAUCCUCAACUGCUUCCCCACCUCAAAUCCAAAUCUCAACCAUCAGAGGGAAAAAUGUCUAACUGGCCAUAGAUCAGUGUGUAGGAACAACUUCAUCCUACUCUGUCAUCCUUUUCCUUACGAUCUACAAGGACAUCUAGGUCAUAUUAUUGACAUACUCUCUUAUCCAGAGCAACUUAUAACAUGUACACUACAAGAAGGAAGGAAUAUUGUUCAUUGUAACAAUUACAGCUUUAGAAUAAAGAGUAAGAUUUAAAACACUACCCCUCUCCUCUCCCCCUUUACCCCCACACUUCACCCCCAGCCCAUCUCAGCUGUCCCGCAAUGUGCUGCUGCUUGUCAUUGAGGAAAAGUGGAACACUGUUGGCAAUAACCAGACCACACACACACACAUGCACCCAAACACACACACACUUAACAUUUUUUACUGUGGAUAUUCAAAGUGAAGAGGUCUGUUUUGACAACAGUGACAAUGCCUGUCAAAAUGUCCAACCAGGAUAUGAUGACUACUCAGACUACUCAUCAGUCAAACAGAGCUGGGACUGAGUCUCAGGGCUUGUGUGCUGAAUUCCAAAGAUAAACUAAUAUAGAACAACUGCAGACCAGAAGUAAACAUUGUGGACCCCCUGGUGACUGUACCUCACUGUUCCCCUUCACUUCUAAAUGCAGAGAGGGGACUUUUCCCCAACCUGGGGGGUGUUGGGGGAGUAUACGGCUGGCACACACAAGUUCUCAGGUUCUGCUGAAAAUGAGGUGGGGAGGUGUGUGAGUGUGUAUGUGUAGAAAAGAUUUGGGGGAGGGGGGGUUAUGAGUGACUCUAACACACUGCUGCCCCCCUCUUACUGAGACCCACACAGGCAUCUUUGUACUCCUUCCACCAUCAGUGACCAUCCAUCACUGACUAACCUGACAGCCCCCCCCCCCCACACUCACACAAGCCUGCACUCAACUGUAGUAAUAUUACCCUCUACCCUGUCCCAGACCACUACCCAAACUAUCCCUGUCCAAGACCACCACUACCCAACCUAGCCCUGUCCCAGACCAUUACCCAACCUAGCCCUGUCCCAGACCAUUACCCAACCCAGCCUUGCCCCAGACCAUUACCCAACCCAGCCCUGUCCCAGACCAUUACCCAACCCAGCCUUGCCCCAGACCAUUACCCAAACUAUCCCUGUCCCAGACCACUACCCAAACUAUCCCUGUCCAAGACCACCACUACCCAACCCAGCCUUGCCCCAGACCAUUACCCAACCUAGCCCUGUCCCAGACCAUUACCCAACCCAGCCUUGCCCCAGACCAUUACCCAACCUAGCCCUGUCCCAGACCACUACCCAAACUAUCCCUGCCCCAGACCAUUACCCAACCUAGCCCUGUCCAAGACCACUACCCAACCUAGCCCUGUCCAAGACCACUACCCAACCCAGCCCUGUCCCAGACCAUUACCUAACCCAGCCCUGUCCCAGACCAUUACCCAACCCAGCCCUGUCCCAGACCACUACCCAACCCAGCCCU